GACGAACGCUGGCGGCGUGCUUAACACAUGCAAGUCGAACGCUGAAGCACCUUCGGGUGUGGAUGAGUGGCGAACGGGUGAGUAACACGUGGGUAAUCUGCCCUGCACUCUGGGAUAAGCCUUGGAAACGGGGUCUAAUACCGGAUAUCACAACUUCAGGCAUCUGGGGUUGUUGAAAGUUCUGGCGGUGCAGGAUGAACCCGCGGCCUAUCAGCUUGUUGGUGGGGUAAUGGCCUACCAAGGCGACGACGGGUAGCCGGCCUGAGAGGGUGACCGGCCACACUGGGACUGAGACACGGCCCAGACUCCUACGGGAGGCAGCAGUGGGGAAUAUUGCACAAUGGGCGCAAGCCUGAUGCAGCGACGCCGCGUGAGGGAUGACGGCCUUCGGGUUGUAAACCUCUUUCGCCAGGGACGAAGCGCAAGUGACGGUACCUGGAUAAGAAGCACCGGCUAACUACGUGCCAGCCGCCGCCGUAAGAC
rnacentral:rRNA from 1 species